GCAAACUUACUGCAGGAGAGGGCCUCAGAGGACCGAAUGCUCCAGGGGUCUGGAUGUGACAAAGUGUGACAGUUACACAGCGUCACAAUAACCCCACUCUGGAUUAGAAUGUUUACAGAUUACCAGAGAACAGCAAAAGACUCACUGGUAGGAUCGAAAUGAAGGCACUAGACGAGGACUUUUAAGCAAAUGCAUUUGGUUACUUUAACACCUUGUCUAGCAGGGCUUUGGAGCGGAGCCUGGAGCUGGAGUGCAGAGCAGCUCCGGAGCAGUGGAGCAGCAGGUUUUUGCCUGGAGCUGGAGCGGAGCUCGAGUACAGCUCCAAAGCCCUGCUGCCUAGGCAGUUUGUGAAUAUCAGGUACGUCACUUCUUACUGAGGGUUUGAAAUGGCACUUUGCAGUACUGUGACGUUAGACAGUGGGGAUGGAAAACGCUAGUCCCCUGCCUUGAGACACGCACACAGAAGCCGCCCUUCUCUCAUCAAGCAAUACAAGGCUGGGCCAGGGGCAUUCAUACUCUGCUCAGAUCAAGGCCACAGUGACAACUUUCUAGAACCCAUAAGUUGCCCUUAACUGGAAUAAAACAAAGCAGAUAGCAGCUACCCUCGCCUUCAAUGCAGAGAUUACAGGUCUCGCUAACUACAAUCAGGCCACUCAGCUCAAGCCAGAUUAUCACAAGCUGUAGGUUACAUCUCUGUUUAGGCGAAGGAAGCCAGGAGCUGCAUUCGGCCUGGCUGAGUCGCUUUGGCAUUGCUGCUUUCAGCGCUGAAACACCUGUACAAGACCAGUCACUAAUGCAAUCAACCCAGCAGUCUCCUAGUUGCUUAACAAAACACACAUGCACAUGAGUGCUGUGACACAGCUCUACAAAUACUGUACACCAAUGUUUUUGUAGAAGUUAAGCCAUGAACAAAAAUAUAUCCAUAUUGUGAUUAGUGAGUCACUGCAGAGAGUCAGAAUGUUACAGGCACAGAUAUCAGCACACUGGCAUUUUCUCUCACUUCACAGUGCCUUGUUCUGGGUGAGCAAAGCAGCAGUGGCAAGAAGUCCCAGGAAACAGCUCAGCUACACCUCCUCUGCCUGGAGGAUGGGGGCUGUGAUGUGGGUGACAGGAGAUAAAGGGGGGAUGGACAGCAUAACCUUCAGUAUUUGCAUAGCGAAGAUGAUGCCUCCUUCCCCAAAAGGACGACACUCCUCUUGGCCAGAAGCCACUCCAUUGCAGAAACAACUUCAGAAUAAACAUUGCUGGAGAAGAGAGAAAAAGCCAAUCUAGGCUUCAGGAAAGAAAAAUAAUGCCAGAGUACAUGGUGGGGCAUAACUCACCGCUCAGACUCACAAACAAGGAAGAGAGAUGCCCUAGUCACUGGAUUUAAACAGCUACCAGAAAAUCCACCCAAACUCCUACAUAGAUCGUUUAAGGGCAUGUGUGUAUGUGCAGCUCCACAAGAUGGCACUAAAGGGAGUCCCUUUGAAAGGCUGAGAAAUCACGGACUAGCAGCUGAUCACAAUGGUCACCUCUGGCCUUAAACCCUAUGAAAGACAUCACACUGAAGCACCAUGACGCAUCCAGACUAGCACCUCCCAGACUAGCACCUCGGACAAAAAUACUCUUCAAGAGCAAUUAACUGCAGGGGGAUGCUCAAAAUCAAACAAGAUUUAUUUAAAUUGGAAUGUGGAUCUCUGUGAAUCCCACCCUGUGUCUAGUGUGACUGUAAGCAGCUCAGUGCAGGGAUCACCUCUCAGCGGGAGUGCAUAGUGCCUACCACUAUGGGGCCUGCAGGCUCUACCCAAACACCAGUACACAUUUCUAGUUUA